AUGAGCAAAGCUCUAAGCCCUCGAUACCAAGGCCUCUCGACCUACGAGAAGGAGUAUCUGGCAGUUAUUGUGGCCGUGGACCAGUGGCGCCCUUACCUCCAACACGCAGAAUUCACCAUCCUUACAGACCAGCGUAGCUUGACGCACUUGACAGAGCAGAGGCUGUCGACACCAUGGCAGCAACGACCUUUCACUAAACUGUUGGGGCUCCGAUACAUCAUCAAGUACAAAAAAGGAGCCGAGAACACAGCAGUGGACGCCCUUUCCAGAGCAAAAACAUCUGAAGUACUACUCACAAUCAGCGUAUGCCAACCAGCAUGGCUUGAAGAUAUUGUCGCCAGCUACAACAAUAACCCACGGGCGCAAAAACUCCUCGAGCAGCUGGCUGUUAGGGAGGACCCAGAAGGAAGAUUCCAACACCAGAACGGACUGCUUCGCUUCCGUGGCCGAAUCUGGCUGGGAGGAACCACAGCUAUGCAACAACACAUCAUCGCGGCCUUCCACGACAGCCCGAUGGGUGGCCACUCCGGCUUCCCAGUGACAUAUCGCCGCAUUCGCGGGUUGUUUGCUUGGCCCAAGAUGAAGGCACACAUACAACAAUAUUUGUGGUGCUGCCAGGUCUGUCAAUAG
rnacentral:rRNA from 1 species